ACCCUGGCGGCGAGUGGCGGACGGGUGAGGAAUGCAUAGGAAUCUGCCCGGUUGUGGGGGAUAACGUAGGGAAACUUACGCUAAUACCGCAUACGACCUUCGGGUGAAAGUGGGGGACCUUCGGGCCUCACGCGAUUGGAUGAACCCAGGUGGGAUUAGCUAGUUGGUGAGGUAAUGGCUCACCAAGGCUACGAUCCGUAGCUGGUCUGAGAGGACGACCAGCCACACUGGGACUGAGACACGGCCCAGACUCCUACGGGAGGCUGCAGUGGGGAAUAUUGGACAAUGGGCGCAAGCCUGAUCCAGCCAUGCCGCGUGAGUGAUGAAGGCCUUAGGGUUGUAAUGCUCUUUUAGCGGGGAAGAUAAUGACGGUACCCGCAGAAUAAGCCCCGGCUAACUUCGUGCCAGCAGCCGCGGUAAUACGAAGGGGGCUAGCGUUGUUCGGAAUUACUGGGCGUAAAGCGCACGCAGGCGGCUUGUUAAGUCGGAUGUGAAAGCCCCGGGCUCAACCUGGGAAUUGCAUUCGAUACUGGCAAGCUAGAGUAUGUGAGAGGGGGGUAGAAUUCCAAGUGUAGCGGUGAAAUGCGUAGAGAUUUGGAGGAAUACCAGUGGCGAAGGCGGCCCCCUGGCACACUACUGACGCUCAGGUGCGAAAGCGUGGGGAGCAAACAGGAUUAGAUACCCCGGUAGUCCUAGCAGUAAACGGUGCACGUUUGGUGUGGGGGGAUUCGACCCCUUCCGCGCCGGAGCUAACGCGUUAAGCGCGCCGCCUGGGGAGUACGGUCGCAAGAUUAAAACUCAAAGAAAUUGACGGGGACCCGCACAAGCGGUGGAGCAUGUGGCUUAAUUCGAUGCAACGCGAAGAACCUUACCUGGCCUUGACAUGUCUGGAAUCCCUAAGAGAUUGGGGGAGUGCCUUCGGGAAUCAGAACACAGGUGCUGCAUGGCUGUCGUCAGCUCGUGUCGUG
rnacentral:rRNA from 1 species